UCAUUACAAAUCAGUAUUCUGAAGAAAAGGAAUCUGGUUGAAGUAAAAAUAUUUGAUAAAAAUGAAACAAAUAAUUUGCAGAAGUUACCAGUUUAAAUCAGGAAGAAAAUAGAGAUCUAAACUUGGUUUGCUUGACCCCUACUAACCUGCACUAUCUAGGAGCUUGACUACUCUUUGAGAAAACUUUGUUCCAGUGUCAUCUUACCUUGUUUAGAUGGUGAACAACAUAUUCAAUAUGUUCAUUGUGUUUUACCAUAUACCCAACCUGUGGCUUUCAAAACUUUAAAACAGCAAACAAUGUGAUUUAUAUGAUUAAUACAUUUGUAUUCUGAAGCACAGUAAAACUUAUGAAAAGUAAUUAACAUUUGAAAAUACUGAACUCCUCCCUCAUCUCCUUAAUCUAAUCAACUUUCACUGGAUAUUUCUCCUAUGUAUAAAGGAAAAAUGAUAUAUAUUUUUAAAAAAUGAGUUGUUACGUAAACUCCCUUACUACAUAAAACAGUAAAGAACAUACAAGUUUUGUUCCCUCCACCCUACUACUCUCUACUGUUUAGGAUCUUGACAGCUGUGUUCCAACACAAAAGGGAAGAAAGUGUCUGGGCCUCCCUCCCUAGAUGUGGGAGGAGCUGUAGGACUUGGCCCUGGAAAGGGCACUGGCUUCAGCCAUUGUUGGAGCCCUGGCCGUGCCUCUCAGCCCUGAUCUCUGCGCCUGAUCUCUCAGAGCCUCGUCAUAGAGGUCUGGGAAGGAAGUCCAGAUGGUAUCGUGGAUCUUGGCCAGCACCUCCAACACCUUCAUCUUAUUGGUUUCAAACAAGCUCUCGGGCCCCACAGGAACUCCUAGUGUGGAGGAUCGCCAUUGGGCACCUGUCGGUACUUCAGUAAACCAAGCAGGAAGAAUUUGGGAGCCCGAGCCUGACAGCCUUCCUGGAGCUGCUGAGGCAGACAGUGAGGGCACUCUGGGGCUCCUUCUUGUGUGCUGAGUGAUCCUCUCUGUCCUCUAUCCCUGCCUUCCUCUGACCGUAAUGCUGCUUUAUGUCCCGUCUGCUGACCUGAGGGCAAGACCUCACCUGGAAGAUGUCAAAUCCACAGACGCCUGGUGAGAAGUGCACCGGCAUCUCAUCUGGACGAUUCUGCCUAAGGCUUCCUGGAAAUGGCUGCUGCAGGUAAGAUAAGCGAGAGGGAAGGAUGGGUGAAUGCUGUCUGUGGUGUGAAAUCCCUCACAUCUCACUCAGGAUCUUCAUAUUGACUGCAGGCGGAGCCUGGAAACCCUUCCCUUUCUGGUAUAAAACGACCCCUGUCCCCAACCAUGCCCCACACAAUCCCAGCAGAGAAAGUGAAGGGGCUCCUUAGCCUGACGGUUCUCACUGCGGGCUCUUAGUCGACUGCAGGGGCAUUGCUUGAAAGUUCUGAGAUGAAUUUCGGUCCUUUUGUACAAUUACUGUGAUACAGGCUUUUCUCUUUUAGUGCACGUGUGACAGUCUCUUAAGCUCAUCAUUUACAAGGGCCAGUUGUCGUCCACUAACAAAGUUUGUGCUGGUUAUUGCAUGACCUCUGGGCCAUACUGCCAUGUCCAUCCCAAACGUUGGUGCCCCAUGAUCCUGGCAUGGGGCUCUGAGAUGCUGCCUCAGGUUCCUUCAGUGAAGCAGUGAAGGUUCAUGGUCCCACGGCCCAGUGGAAGAAUCAACCGCUCCAGUUUAAAGCCUUUUCCAUCUGAUCCUGUUGUCUGUUUCCUUUGUGGCCUGCACACCUGUGUCAGCUUCAGAGUACUCCCCGACCUGGGCACUCGUUGGGUCAAGUUCAAAGGAGACUUAUUGUUCCUCAGGGAUUAUUUAGUUUUGUGUUCUUGCUUUUGUUAGUAGUUGUCUUUAUUCCUUGUAUAAUUUUCCAUGGUUUGUUCUGGGUACAGGAAACAGCUGCCCACGUGUGACUCAGCUACUCUGGAUGUGGUACUAAAUCUGUGGAAAUCAACAGUCUUACAAU
ensembl:lncRNA